rnacentral:lncRNA from 1 species
UGAGAGGAGGGUGCAGACCAGAUUUUUAAAUUGAGAAUGCAACAGUGAAGGAUUUCAAGCUUGGAGUGAGAGGGGAGACUACGAGCCUGCAGUGAUAAGGCAAAGCUGAAGAUUUCAGAGCCAAGGCCACACCCUACAGUUGCCAUGGAAUGGGGUGGCACAGUGGGCUUUGGAGGUAAAGUCUGCAGUUGAGAAGUUCAAGGGUAAUAUACAGGGAGUCCACGGAGCCUCCCCUGCAAGCAUCAGUACAGAAGUCGAUGAUAAUCUGGAUGCAAGCCCAGGAGUGUGGAGUCCACUGACUCAGAAGACCUGCAUCUAAGGAAUUGGCUGUUCUUAUCCUUAAGAAUGAUGACUGUGUUUCCAAUUCCAGUAGACCCUUUGAUGCGUUCUGAAUAAAUAUUCCUUUUGGAAUUGAACUUCUAGAGCCCUUAA